GCGCUUGCUUCGGCAGCACCUGUAUUAAAUUUGGAACAACACAGAGAAGAUUAACACGGCCCCUGUGCAAGGAUGACACACAAAUCUGUGAAGCAUUCCAUACUUUU
ensembl:snRNA U6 U6 spliceosomal RNA